rnacentral:lncRNA from 1 species
AGCAAAACCAAUGUAAGAGAAGAAAUAUUAGGCCAGUAAGGCCAGGGGAAUAUUUAAGUUUUAAUGCCAGUGUUUUGAACUUUAAGACACAGAGCAUGAAGAAGUCACUUCAACGUCCAGCUGGAUGCCUCCUCUUGUCCUUGCAUAAGCUCAUCAGAGUGGCAGAACACAGAGCUCAUGGAGGAACCUGCCUUUGCUGCUGGACAAAUCAGCGUAUGUGUUUUGGUUCUGCUUUUCCUAAUUGUGUAACACCUGGCAUAUAAGAAUCUUGUGUGGAUUAAGUGAGAUAAGCAUGUUGAUCUUCUAGCAGAGAAACUGCCACAUGAAGAAUGCUCAAUAAAGGUCACCUGGGUGGAUUAAGUCUCUGCCUUCAACUCAGGUCAUGAUCUCAGGGUCCUGGGAUCAAGCCCUGCAUUGGGCUCUCUGCUCAGCAGGGAGCCUGCUUCCCCCCCACCCCUUGGCCUGCUGCUCUGCCUACCUGAUCUCUCUCUCUCUCUCUCUCUCUGUGUGUGUGUAAAAUAAAUAAAUA